rnacentral:rRNA from 1 species
GACGAACGCUGGCGGCGUGCCUAAUACAUGCAAGUAGAACGCUGAAGAGAGGAGCUUGCUCUUCUUGGAUGAGUUGCGAACGGGUGAGUAACGCGUAGGUAACCUGCCUGGUAGCGGGGGAUAACUAUUGGAAACGAUAGCUAAUACCGCAUAAAAUUGAUUAUUGCAUGAUAAUUAAUUGAAAGAUGCAACUGCAUCACUACCAGAUGGACCUGCGUUGUAUUAGCUAGUUGGUGAGAUAACGGCUCACCAAGGCGACGAUACAUAGCCGACCUGAGAGGGUGAUCGGCCACACUGGGACUGAGACACGGCCCAGACUCCUACGGGAGGCAGCAGUAGGGAAUCUUCGGCAAUGGGGGGAACCCUGACCGAGCAACGCCGCGUGAGUGAAGAAGGUUUUCGGAUCGUAAAGCUCUGUUGUAAGAGAAGAACGGGUGUGAGAGUGGAAAGUUCACACUGUGACGGUAUCUUACCAGAAAGGGACGGCUAACUACGUG